rnacentral:lncRNA from 1 species
ACUUCUUCCCGAAACCAGCGAAGCAAAAAACAAACAACUAUCAACUUCCAAUGAAACAUGAAUAUCUAAACACAGUGGUGAAACUAUAGGCCUUCAGUGUGACAGGUUAAUACAGUGGUGAACCUAUAGGCCUUCAGUGUGACAGGUUAGUACAGUGGUGAACCUAUAGGCCUUCAGUGUGACAGGUUAAUACAGUGGUGAACCUAUAGGUCUUCAGUGUGUGACAGGUUAGUACAGUGGUGAACCUAUAGGCCUUCAGUGUGACAGGUUAAUACAGUGGUGAACCUAUAGGUCUUCAGUGUGUGACAGGUUAGUAUAGUGGUGAACCUAUAGGCCUUCAGUGUGACAGGUUAGUACAGUGGUGAACCUAUAGGUAUUCAGUGUGUGACAGGUUAGUACAGUGGCGAACCUAUAGGCCUUCAGUGUGACAGGUAAGUACAGUGUUGAACCUAUAGGCCUUCAGUGUGUGACAGGUUAAUACAGUGGUGAACCUAUAGGUCUUCAGUGUGACAGGUUAGUACAGUGGUGAACCUAUAGGCCUUCAGUGUGUGACAGGUUAGUAUAGUGGUGAACCUAUAGUCCUUCAGUGUGACAGGUUAAUACAGUGGUGAACCUAUAGGCCUUCAGUGUGACAGGUUAGUACAGUGGUGAACCUAUAGGUCUAAAGUGUGUGACAGGUUAGUACAGUGCUGAACCUAUAGGCCUUCAGUGUGUGACAGGUUAGUACAGUGGUGAACCUAUAGGCCUUCAGUGUGACAGGUUAGUACAGUGGUGAACCUAUAGGCCUUCAGUGUGACAGGUUAAUACAGUGGUGAACCUAUAGGUCUUCAGUGUGACAGGUUAAUACAGUGGUGAACCUAUAGGCCUUCAGUGUGACAGGUUAAUACAGUGGUGAACCUAUAGGCCUUCAGUGUGACAGGUUAAUACAGUGGUGAACCUAUAGGUCUUCAGUGUGUGACAGGUUAGUACAGUGGUGAACCUAUAGGCCUUCAGUGUGACAGGUUAAUACAGUGGUGAACCUACAGGUCUUCAGUGUGUGACAGGUUAGUACAGUGGUGAACCUAUAGGUCUUCAGUGUGUGACAGGUUAAUACAGUGGUGAACCUAUAGGCCUUCAGUGUGACAGGUUAAUACAGUGGUGAACCUAUAGGCCUUCAGUGUGACAGGUUAAUACAGUGGUGAACCUAUAGGUCUAAAGUGUGUGACAGGUUAGUACAGUGGUGAACCUAUAGGCCUUCAGUGUGACAGGUUAGUACAGUGGUGAACCUAUAGGUCUUCAGUGUGACAGGUUAAUACAGUGGUGAACCUAUAGGUAUUCAGUGUGUGACAGGUUAGUACAGUGGUGAACCUAUAGGUCUUCAGUGUGUGACAGGUUAAUACAGUGGUGAACCUAUAGGUCUAAAGUGUGUGACAGGUUAGUACAGUGGUGAACCUAUAGGCCUUCAGUGUGACAGGUUAGUACAGUGGUGAACCUAUAGGUCUUCAGUGUGACAGGUUAAUACAGUGGUGAACCUAUAGGUAUUCAGUGUGUGACAGGUUAGUACAGUGGUGAACCUAUAGGUCUUCAGUGUGUGACAGGUUAAUACAGUGGUGAACCUAUAGGUCUUCAGUGUGACAGGUUAGUACAGUGGUGAACCUAUAGGUCUUCAGUGUGUGACAGGUUAAUACAGUGGUGAACCUAUAGGCCUUCAGUGUGACAGGUUAGUACAGUGGUGAACCUAUAGGCCUUCAGUGUGACAGGUUAGUACAGUGGUGAACUUUGGGAACUUUUUGACAAAUUAGAGCAUACCCACUUAUGCAGGCACCACUACACCACUGCAUAGAGCCGAUGGAAGGACAGCAGUCACACAGCAUGAUGUUAAAGGAUAAGCAGUCCAUAAACUCUGACAUAAUAAACCAGUAGGUUCCCAGUCAUAAGAAUACAAAAACACAACCAUGAAGCACUUCCCAAUCGAAAUGUACAAUUAUUACUUUCCAUUGCAAAAAACAUUUCAUGUUUAGCACACAAUGUACAUUAAGCAGUGACUCAAAGUUUAAAGUGGAACUGACAGCGUUUCAACUACUUUGCAGAUAUGAAACAAACAGACAAUCGUAGAAUCGUAAAAAAUAUCAAAUUCACAGUUUAUGCUACAAAACCAAUUCAUGAGAGGUUUUAAAAAAUAAGUUAUAUUUGACUCAACGUUCAAUGAUUUACUAUAAGGCAUUGUUGGCAAAAUAGAUGGUUUCAGUUCAAUGGAUGAUUCAUAUAUUUCUGGGACUACAUUUCUUGGUAGUCCCAGAAAUAUUGCUCUCAGGUUGUAAAUCACAACCUGGUACAUUGUCUGCUGCCUCCAUUCGGGAUGCACUGUUUCAGUUUCAAUGACUCAAUAUUCUGGACAAAAACGGACAAAUGUAAUUAAGGCUGGGAAUGUCAAUACAAUCAAACUAGCAAGGGCAAUCGGCACAAGUUAUUCAUAAUGUGGCUAAUAGCGUAUCUAUUAGUGUCUAUCUAUUAUUUCUGUAGCCAGCUAAAAACACGGAGCCUAAAGUUAGCUAGCUAGCUAGCUAGCUAGCUGCUAGGAGGAUGUCAUGUCAUGCCAUUGGAGGAGUGGGUGAGGGACUGACUUUUCCCCCUCAUAUAAUUUUUCAGUAGCUAUACACAACAAGAGAUGCAGGUGUCAUUUGGUUAGCUAGCAAGAACUUGAAACUAUUAUACAGUUAGCAUGUCUCUUGCUUGAUUUCUCAAAUUCACUCUGGCUAUCUACUCCGAUUUCAGAGAACUCUCGUCUGUGUGCCAGAGCACACAACACCUGCUGAAUAUGACCGGUGUCAGCAAACGUAAGCAAAACAAGUUAUAUUUAGUCAAGAACGCUCUAGAUAACACCCUAACCAGCUCUGCUAUGCAGAGUAAAAUGGGCAGGGUGAGGUGUUCUCUCAUUUGUGUCUGGAAGUAGCUAGCUAGCAAGCUAGCCAACUUUAGCCAGUUAGCUUGGGUGCUUGGUUGGGACAAGCAUGCAUUGGCAGGCAAGCUGCAGAAGGAUGAAGAGGCUACAAUUCCCCAUUGUUAUUCAGUGCAAUUUUGACGGCCAACUAAUGAUCGUUCUAAUGAUCUAAAGUUGCACUGUUGGACAAGACAGAAGUUUUUAUUCGGUUUUAUUUACUGCAGGGUCUAUUAGUUGUCCAAACGCACGGUCACUUUCCAACACCAUAUUGCUAUAGAAUUUUCACAAAUGUGUUACUAUACGUAAUUCCCAAACAUUCUAAGAAUUUAUGAAAACUUGAAAAUUACAAUAUCUAAAUGGUCGCUGUCACGCCCUGACCUGAGAGAGACGGUUUGAUUCUCUAUGUGGUUAGGUCAGGGUGUGGGGUGGGCAUUCUAUGGUGUAUAUUUCUUUGUGUAUGGUUCCUAAUCAGAGGCAGCUGUCUAUCGUUGUCUCUGAUUAAGAAUCAUACUUAGGCAGCCUUUCCCCACCUGUAGUUGUGGGAUCUUAUUUUUGUACUGCUUGUUAAGCCUGCAAGACGUUACGCUCGUG